GAUUAACGCUUGCGGCAUGCCUAAUUCAUGCAAGUCGAGCGAACAGACGAGGAGCUUGCUCCUCUGACGUUAGCGGCGUACGGGUGAGUAACACGUGGAUAACCUACCUAUAAGACUGGGAUAAUGUCGGGAAACCGGACCUAAUACCGUAUAAUAUAUUGAACUUCUUGGGUCAGUCGUGAAAGACGGUUUAGCUGCCACUUAUAAAUGUAUCCACUCCGCAUUCGCUAUUUAGUAUGAUAACGCCUUACCAAGGCAACCAUGCGUAGCCUACCUGAGAGGGUGGUCGGCCACACUGGACCUGAGACACGGUCCAGACUCCUACGGGAGGCAGCAGUGGGGAGUCUUCCGCAAUAGGCGACAGCCUGACGGAGCAACGCGCCGUGAGUGAUGAAGGUCUACGGAUCGUAAAACUCUGUUAUUAGGGAAGAACAAAUGUGUAAGUACCUAUGCACGUCUUGACGGUACCUAAUCAGAAAGCCACGGCUAAAUACGUG
rnacentral:rRNA from 1 species